AUUGAACGCUGGCGGCAGGCCUAACACAUGCAAGUCGAACGAGUGGCGGACGGGUGAGUAAUGUCUGGGAAACUGCCCGAUGGAGGGGGAUAACUACUGGAAACGGUAGCUAAUACCGCAUACCAUCGGAUGUGCCCAGAUGGGAUUAGCUAGUAGGUGGGGUAACGGCUCACCUAGGCGACGAUCCCUAGCUGGUCUGAGAGGAUGACCAGCCACACUGGAACGGAGACACGGUCCAGACUCCUACGGGAGGCAGCAGUGGGGAAUAUUGCACAAUGGGCGCAAGCCUGAUACAGCCAUGCCGCGUGAAUGAAGAAGGCCUUCGGGUUGUAAAGCACUGUCAGCGGGGAGGCGUUACCCGCAGAAGAAGCACCGGCUAACUCCGUGCCAGCAGCCGCGGUAAUUC
rnacentral:rRNA from 1 species